rnacentral:tRNA from 1 species
GGAAUAUAGCUCAGUGGUAGAGCAUGUGUUUAGCAUAUAAAAGGCCCUGGGUUUGAUCCCCAGCACCA